rnacentral:misc_RNA from 1 species
GAUGAAGAACGUAGCGAAAUGCGAUAAGUAGUGUGAAUUGCAGAAUUCAGUGAAUCAUCGAAUCUUUGAACGCACAUUGCGCCCUUUGGUAUUCCAAAGGGCAUGCCUGUUCGAGCGUCAUUUGUACCCUCAAGCUUUGCUUGGUGUUGGGCGUCUAGUCUCUAGCUUUGCUGGAGACUCGCCUUAAAGUAAUUGGCAGCCGGCCUACUGGUUUCGGAGCGCAGCACAAGUCGCACUCUCUAUCAGCAAAGGUCUAGCAUCCAUUAAGCCUUUUUUUCAACUUUUGACCUCGGAUCAGGUAGGGAUACCCGCUGAACUUAAGCAUAUCAAUAAGCGGAGGA